UGCGUCGUAGCUCAGUUGGCUAGAGUGUUGGCUAUACUAAAGACUUCCCCUUGAUGGUGUGGGUUCGAAUCCCUCCGAGGCCG
rnacentral:tRNA from 1 species